rnacentral:rRNA from 1 species
UACGAAGGGGGCUAGCGUUGCUCGGAAUUACUGGGCGUAAAGGGCGCGUAGGCGGCACUGUUAGUCAGGCGUGAAAGUCCUGGGCUCAACCUGGGAACUGCGCUUGAUACGGCAGAGCUAGAGGAUGGAAGAGGCUCGCGGAAUUCACGGUGUAGCAGUGAAAUGCGUAGAUAUCGUGAGGAACACCAGAGGCGAAGGCGGUUACCUGGACAGUUACUGACGCUCAGGCACGAAAGCAUGGGGAGCAAAAGGG